GCAACCAACCAACCAAAUGGAGAGGCAGCGCAGCGCAUAAAGACAUGGUCCGCUGAGAGUGACGACCACUGCUGCCGCUGUCCUCCUCCUCCCUCCUCCUCGUGCUCGCAGACCACCACCAGACCAAUAAUAAUCCACCUACUACCAAACCACCUCCUCUUCCUCCCCGUCGCCCACCACCGGACCAUGGAUCAGCAGCGCCAGCAGAUCAGCAGCAAGGACGACAAGACGGCGGAGCUCGACCCGGUGCUCCACUCGCUGGGUUUCGAGAUCGAGGAGGUUUCGCCGUCGCAGCUGACGGGGCGGCUCCCCGUCACCGCCAGGUGCUGCCAGCCCUUCAAGGUGCUCCACGGCGGCGUCUCGGCGCUCAUCGCCGAGGGCCUGGCCAGCAUGGGCGCCCACAUGGCGUCGGGGUACCGGCGCGUGGCCGGCGUCAGCCUGAGCAUCAACCACUUCCGCAGCGCCGCCGUGGGGGACGUCGUCCUCGCCCGCGCCGCCCCCGUCCACGUCGGCCGCUCAACCCAGGUGUGGGAGGUGAAGCUAUGGAAGCAGGAGCCAUCGUCGUCGUCGCCGGGGAAGAAGGGUCCUCAGAUAUCCGAGUCCAGGGUCACGCUGCUCUGCAACCUGCCCGUCCCGGAGAACCUCAAGAACGCUGGCGACGCCCUCAAGAAGUACGCCGCCGCCGCUACCAUCAGCAGAUUGUAGAUGCUACCGAUCGAUUAAGGGGGUGUUUGGAUACCAGAGGCUAAACUUUAACCCUAUCAUAUCGGAUGUUCGGAUGUUAAUUAGUUUUGUAAUUAGCCUAUAUUUUUGAUACUUCUAAUUAGUGUCCAAACAUCCGAUGUAACAGGAGUUAAAAUUUAGCCUAGGGAGCCAAACAACCCCUAACUGCAUAAUAUGCCGCUGCCUGCCUGAAGCUGCAGACGAUCCAUACAAUACAGAUCAAAGAAUGCACGCAUGCUUCGAAUAUAUCAUGUCAUAACCAUGGAUGUAUUAUGUAUACAGUACAAUAUACUGUAUCCAAUCCUCAAUCCUCAUAUAUAUAUAUACUGUUGUUGCUUUACUC